GGGGAUAUUGGACAAUGGGGGGAACCCUGAUCCAGCGACGCCGCGUGAGUGAAGAAGUAUCUCGGUAUGUAAAGCUCUAUCAGCAGGGAAGAAAGAAAUGACGGUACCUGAGUAAGAAGCCCCGGCUAACUACGUGCCAGCAGCCGCGGUAAUACGUAGGGGGCAAGCGUUAUCCGGAAUUACUGGGUGUAAAGGGAGCGUAGACGGCGACGCAAGUCUGGAGUGAAAGCCCGGGGUCCAACCCCGGGACUGCUCUGGAAACUGCGUCGCUGGAGUACGGGAGGGGCAGGCGGAAUUCCUGGUGUAGCGGUGAAAUGCGUAGAUAUCAGGAGGAACACCGGCGGCGAAGGCGGCCUGCUGGACCGUGACUGACGUUGAGGCUCGAGAGCGUGGGGAGCAAACA
rnacentral:rRNA from 1 species